rnacentral:rRNA from 1 species
GACGAACGCUGGCGGCGUGCCUAAUACAUGCAAGUAGGACGCAGUCGCGAACGGGUGAGUAACGCGUAUGUACCUACCUCUUACAGGGGGAUAACUAUUGGAAACGAUAGCUAAUACCGCAUACUAGUCGCUGGACCUACGUUGUAUUAGCUAGUAGGUAGGGUAAUGGCCUACCUAGGCAAGGGUACAUAGCAGACCCGAGAGGGUGUUAGGCCACAAUGGGACUGUGGCGCGGCCCAGGCUCCUACGGGAGGCAGCAGUAGGGAAUCUUCGGCAAUGGGGGGAACCCUGACCGAGCAACGGCGCGUGAGUGAAGAAGGUUUUCGGAUCGGAAAGCUAUUUUGUUAAGGAAGCGGUACUUAACCAGAAAGGGACGGCUAACUACGUGCCAGCAGCCGCGGUAAUAC